rnacentral:tRNA from 1 species
GCCGAGGUGGCGGAAUGGCAGACGCGCUGCGUUCAGGGCGCAGUGUCCUUAAGGGCAUGGGAGUUCAAAUCUCCCCCUCGGCACCA